rnacentral:tRNA from 1 species
GCCUCGGUAGUGGAAUGGAAAGCACGGCAGACCUUAUAUAUCUGUAAGUGCGGGUACGAGUCCCGCCUGAAGUU